UAAAAAUACCUUCUGGCCGAGGCUGGCUGGAAGUUACUUAGGGUUGUCCCAGUACUUAUGUCUCAUAAGAGCAGAAGAGCCAAUCCUGGGAGUGGUGAGGUGUGGAUCUUGAUGUAGACAGCAACAAAGAUGGUUAAAAUACCUUAAAUGAAGGAAAUCCUGGUUCUGGUGAGGCCAGAAGACUCAUUACUGGAGAGCUAGUGAAGUGAUGUCAGCAGAGGAGGUAGAAAAGACAAAGUUGAGGAGCAGGGAUUUUCGUUAAACAUGUAAAAUUGGGGGCUUGGUUUUUAUUGUUACCACCUAUUUAGUUAAAUUCUAAGCUUUUGAAUAAGGAAGAGCUUCUUAAAGAUUCA